GCUCAGGAUGAACGCUGGCGGCGUGCUUAACACAUGCAAGUCGAACGAUGAUCCGGUGCUUGCACCGGGGAUUAGUGGCGAACGGGUGAGUAACACGUGAGUAACCUGCCCUUAACUCUGGGAUAAGCCUGGGAAACUGGGUCUAAUACCGGAUAUGACUCCUCAUCGCAUGGUGGGGGGUGGAAAGCUUUUUGUGGUUUUGGAUGGACUCGCGGCCUAUCAGCUUGUUGGUGAGGUAAUGGCUCACCAAGGCGACGACGGGUAGCCGGCCUGAGAGGGUGACCGGCCACACUGGGACUGAGACACGGCCCAGACUCCUACGGGAGGCAGCAGUGGGGAAUAUUGCACAAUGGGCGCAAGCCUGAUGCAGCGACGCCGCGUGAGGGAUGACGGCCUUCGGGUUGUAAACCUCUUUCAGUAGGGAAGAAGCGAAAGUGACGGUAC
rnacentral:rRNA from 1 species